AUACGUAGGGAGCGAGCGUUGUCCGGAAUUACUGGGUGUAAAGGGAGCGUAGGCGGGAGUGCAAGUCAGAUGUGAAAUACAUGGGCUCAACCCAUGGGCUGCAUUUGAAACUGCAUUUCUUGAGUGAAGUAGAGGUAAGCGGAAUUCCUGGUGUAGCGGUGAAAUGCGUAGAUAUCAGGAGGAACACCGGUGGCGAAGGCGGCUUACUGGGCUUUUUAUGACGCCGAGGCUCGAAAGCGUGGGGAGGAAACAGGAUUAGAAGACCUGGUAGUCCACGGUGUAAACGAUGAUUACUAGGUGUGGGGGGACUGACCCCUUCCGUGCCGCAGUUAACACAAUAAGUAAUCCACCUGGGGAGUACGGCCGCAAGGUUGAAACUCAAAGGAAUUGACGGGG
rnacentral:rRNA from 1 species